AAUAGGCCUAAAACACGACCUUCAUUAGGAGGAAGGAGAAACUGCAAACAGGCAUCUACACGCACAGAGUCAUCACAGGAUUCGAACAGUCAGCGUCAGGCACCAGUUUUUAAACCUUGGACUUAAACACGACCUCCAUUAGGAAAGAGGAGAAACUACAAAACAGCAUCUACAUGCACAGAGCCAGUCAUCGCAGGAUUUGAAUUGUGUUGUUGGCCCAGCAUCAGAUGUACUAUUAAGCUUGUGUCUGAGAUAUGGCAAGACCAAGGAACGCUCAGAUUAUCCCUGCCCUUACAAUGGAAAUAAAAUUCAUUGCAACUACAUUUUCACUUCGCAUAGCAGAAAAAGAAACGGUAUCUGAGGUGCUAAGAUUGGUUGCCUUUACUGGAGUGACUGUCGCUACUGGACUUGCUGUACUUCUUCUUCAACGAAAUGAGGACGUUUGGCGCAUUUUAAGGCAUGUGAUAAUAGGCAACGGCUGUGACCAAGACCCAGUAGUUAAUGAUAUUAACCCAGGUUCUUUGCUUGUGGAUAUUACAUGUUAUACCAAAGAGAGUCUCCUGACGCUGGGGCGCCGAUAUGGUGAUGGUUCUCUGGCUACGGACAUAGAAAAUGGCCUUAAAUCAAUCGGAUACGACAAACCAAUCACUGUGACCGCCGAAAAAGAUGGCAAACCAUUUGCACUGGAUAAGGUGCACCAAGCGCUACUACA